GUAGGAAAUAAUUUUAGGACAUCGAUAACUUAAAAAUUAUUUUGCUUUGUGCCAUAAUUAGAUAUUUAAUAAGAAUCUGUUACUUUCACACAGUAUGCUGGAUAUUAUCGAGAACAUAGAGAAUCAUCUUGUCUGCUGUUGAACCACUUGGGUCCUGGCUAUGAAGAUAAAACACACACCUAAGUCAGAGAGCACCAAGUGGUCCUCCUUUCUGUCUUUUUAUUCCUGUGGGUCUGUCGUGUUACCCAUCCGUGAGCCUCCACCGCAUCCAUCUGAAGACUGAGCAGAGCCCUUUGGACAUGGUGAUCUGGGGUUGGCAGAGAUAGAAAUGAAUGUACCGUUGACAGUGGUGGCUGUCAGAACCAAUGCUGUAAUACAGCUGGGCGUUAUCACUGCAUGUGUCAAGCUGGCCGGAAGCUGGAGGAAGAUGGCAGAGGAUGUGAAGUGGGAAGAUCUGUAAUUUAUUUCCAACAAACAUCAGGCUAUGGAGACCUCAGGUCCAGUGUGCAGUGAUGGGUGUUCACUUGUGAAUUGGAGCAUUCUUCUUAAGACUUCAAGAAAGAGAGAGUAUGAGCCAGGAGAAGGGCAGAGAGAGAGAGAGAGAGAG